GGAGCCUUCACCUGCGCUCCCAUUCUCACAACAAACGCCCUAGACCAGCCAUUCUCAAUUGCAAACAACCUCUUGUUAACCACCAACAGGGUCCUAGAAUUCAGACACUUGGUUCUCCCCAGAAGCCAUAGGUGAAAGCUAAUCUACGUGCGGGAAGCUGGGCGCAGGCUUCUUGGUGCUCUAAACAGCAUCUGUCACGCCCGACGGUGCGGCCGGCGCGGCCGGGAGCCCCUUUUGCGCAUGCGCGGGGAAACCUCCCCGGAGCCCUCCGAGGCGGGAGGACCUGAUGCGAUCCCGCCGACGCCAGUUUCCCCAACAGGUUACUUCUUGACAAUCAAAGAAGACUCUGGUCUGCAGUUGCCCAGGGAUGGUACUUACUACUCAAACUUUUUGCCUCUGCUACGUAAAAUGAAGCAACUGAUUGCCUACUUG